AAAAUAAAGUACAGUGGAGCUUCAGAGGAAAAAUCCCACUGACCCAGUGGCCGAGGGGAGACUUCUGAAGGAGGAGCCCAUGGGGUGGACCAGGGAAGUUCGGUAGGUCCUACAAGAUGAAAAGAGGUGAAGUGUGGGGAGAAGGAACAAUAGUGGGUACUCCAGGUAGGGACGAACAUGUCGAGUAAAAGUUUGGGCCUACCCAUGUAGCAAAUUGAAUGAGGUUGAGUGUAGAAGGGAAUGUAGUUUGAAAGGUAGACCAAGAUGUGUUUGUAUGGGGCCUUGAUUGCCUGCUAGGGACUCGGGUCCUAAGCAAUGGGAAGUCAUUGAUGAAUAAUAUACAAGAAAAUGUCAUAUUCAGAGAUAGAAUUUGAUUCCUGGCAGCAAAAUCCAUGAUGGGUUGGAGACAGGAGAGUUGGAAAACAGGAAGACUGUAUGGCAAUAGCCGCUAAAAUGAACAAAGAGAUCCAUUCUCGUGUAUGAUUACAACAAAACCUCCUAGCAGAUUAGUGUCUUUCAAAGGCGAAGUAACAGUUUAGAACACAAAUGAAGUGGAACAAUUUAAUGUUGUUUCGUUGUAAUGGGAUUUAGUCUGGAUGGUUCAACUGUGGAAUUAGGAGCAAAAUCUAAUGUCACAGAUCACAGAUAGCUGAUAAAUGCUGUAAGACAUAUAUUUCAAAUAUAUACGUCAAUAUGGAUCCCCUGUUACUUGUUUAAAACUGUGCCCAUCUCACUAUUAUCUAUGGCAUUAAAGCUGGCAGGGCUGCGUGCCCUGACCCACACUAAAGGCAGCCUUAGCCAUUUCCCAUUGUUCCGCCAGUAACGACAGACGUCUGAGUCCUGAGGGUAAAUCUGGCCAGCCAAUUUUGAGUUGGAAAGCCUGCACGAAAGUGGAUGGUGCAUACUGUGUGUAACUGAAGUUCGUUCUCAGGGACACAGCUGAACUCUUGGGCGGGUACUUAGUUCCUGCUCAUAGUUGAGGCAUCAGUAGGUUUCACAUCUACAGUAGAAGUAUCCUACUUGCUUAAGGUGUUAUUCCUUCCAUCCCUAAGAUCUAAGAUCUAAGACUUCUUCUAGAUCUAGGAUUUUUAAAUAUCUCAUUAUCAGCUAAAAAUGGAACCAAAACUCAUCCUCAGGACCAAAAGGAAAAGGAACAAAUAGAGGGACUCCAGUCCGUCUUCCCGACUUUGUGACCUUGGCCCAUGUUCUUCACUUGAAACAAGCUGAACGUGGACUUAGCACUAGAGAGGGAGUGAACAUGUUUGCUUUGGACACUGGCUACAGCCUACAAUGCAAAUUAAAAUUCUGAUGGAAGAAGACAAAUUGUCAUGUGUCUGUUCCGUUUUAGAAAUGUUAAUCGACAAAAUUUAAACUUUUACAAUAUUUUCUAAAAAUCCAAACCUUAUGAGGAAAACUCAGGCAGUCAAAUAUGCAUGAAUGAAUGGGAGCACUUACCUCUGAAAUUGUCAUGGAAUACACGCCCACACUGUCUUAGAACAUAAUUCACGUGCCAGUUGAGUUCAGAGGGCAAGAGGAGCCCUGGGAGUAACUCAGAGUGGCAACUGAUGUUUUUAUCUAAUCUAUUGAAUGCUUUGCCCUUUUCAUGGGGAAAAAAUUAGGACUUUUAAAUUUUCUAGAUGCUGAUGUAGUUCAGUUGUGGCUAUGGAAAUUAAACCUUGGCUUGACAUGCGAGGUAUACCAGUUGUUCACAAGCUGUGCCAUAUGUAGAGAUAGGUUAUUGGCACAAACUAAGUCACCUGUUCUCUUGGUGUUCUUCUCUUUCAAUGAGGAUGGCUAAAUAAACCAUUUCUUGAUAAGCAGUUCAAGCUGCUCUCAUCAAUUCAUUGGAAAAUGUGACGGAUAUUCCUACAUGACAUGCAGAAUAAAUAUAUAAGGGAAACACAUCUGCAUAUAUACAUUGAAAUAUAAAUGGAAACCUGUUGGCACAGUUAUAUUAUUCCUUAAAUGAUAAAAAUCAUUUUAUUUAAUUUUAAACCAUUGAUUCUGUCUCUAAGGAAUUCUCAUCAGGGACUUCUGAGUUCAUUCUUAAUUGUUACUACAUAGCAGUGGCAAAAAAAUAAACGAAGUAUGGACUUUCUCAGGAUAUGCUCUGUGACCACUCGAGUGUGGCAUUGCAGUGUGUUUGCACUUGAACUGAGAUGACCACAGAGGCAUGAAGUUCUGGACAUUAUGUCCUUUACAGGGUUCCUGCCUCAUGCUGUCCUUUUAUGGUUACUUUUAUGUUUCUCAGUCAACUUAAUCACAUUGAAGUAUGUGAAAUAUUUUGGUUCUUGUUUAAAUGGGUAUUUGCAAUGCAGGUUUAACAAUGGGCCACUAGAGUCAUUUAGGAGCCAGCUCCUUUGUCAUCAUUUGUUGCCAUUCAGGCGACUCACCGACACUCCGUGGUCCCGCUUACCAAGACCUUGUUGACGUAUUUGUGACUUCCCGGGAGAGAGACUGUCCCUCAGUCAUAGAGUUUUUCACUGGAAUACUUAGAUUAGCAAAAAUGGCCAUGGCCAGAGCACCACACGCUACUGGAAGGCUAGUGGCAAGUAUUUUUUUGGCAUUAAUCACUCUGCUGGCAGCAGACCUCUGGGAAGCCUUGUGACAGGAUCUGCCCUGUGUAACAUUGCGUGUGCUCUGCUUUUCUUCUUGGAAUCUAUGAAGAAAAUGUUCCUCAGCCCAGAAGCUGGGAUUGAGAAAGCUCCCCUUCCAUGUUAUACAACCCAAAGUCUGGUGAGGGUCAGCGGUUGAACCGUGAGGGUGGGAAGGGUGAGGAAGAGGGUGAUAGUCACAGAUUCAGUGCCAAAAACUCACCUGAGUCACCAUUCCAGCCUCCCCUCCCCCCCAGUAUUGUGGCUGGAGUAGAUGCCCCACGUGUGGAAAGUCAUGAAUCUCCUUUAUCUUUAUAUCUAUAUAUGUUUUUAUGACAUUAUUAUUUUUUACUCUGGGGAGGGAUAUAAACUCAGAGCUCUCUGACUUAUUUUGUUUUAUAUUCCAUGGAAAACUAAAAAUGAAAUAGCUGUUUGUAUGGGGCCUGUUUUCAACUUUCUUUAGAACUUUCAUUAGAAAGAGAGUAACAUAAAAGGAAUCCAGAAUUUAUCUUACAUUACUUUAAUAUUUACCAAAUUUCUACAGAAGCAAGCCUUGUGCAUUUAUAAUCAGAAGAAAAAUCAGAAUUGUCUCUGGGAGAAAGGAUCAUUUUCAGACCAGUAUCACACCGACUCUUCAUUUAGCUCAUUGUCUUGGUAUAAAUAUGAAGUGUCUAGGAAUAAAAUCCUGUUUGAAGCAGAAAGCCUCAUGUGUGUCCCACUUAUACCAUUUCAGAAUACAUUGCUCAGUAUUCAGUUUGGUUUGGGGGUCAGGGUUCAAAAACCUGGACAGAUAUAACCCGGUAAUAAGCCAGCCUUCUUUUCCUAAGCACUUCCCUACUCUCUUUGUACAACCAUCAUGUAUUACCUGUUUUUAUUAUUUGAUAAACCCCCUAAUAACACAUUGUUUAGAAACUUGGUUUUGGAGAAGGUGAGCCAGGGUGUACCUGUUUUCUUAUUAGACCAACAUAAUAUUUCUGUCUGCCUAGGAUGGCAUUUCUGUGGGCUUGAAUAAUCCCCCAAAUACAACUGUCCAUGAGUUGUAAAAUUCCAAAUGCUUUUGGGUCCAGCACAUUAGGAUGACUCAUAACUCUAUUAGGAAGGUUGAUUAAAAAAAAAAAAGGCAUAUCAGAAUGUCAUGCAUUCUGGCAAAUUUUCUUUCUUUCUUUAUAGGUAUUGAGAAUAAAAUUUCAGCUAAUAUUUUUACACACGUUUUGUGUAAUUAUUCUUCCUACUACUCUUUCAGUUGAACUAGAAAGAUCUGGGCUGACUGGCCACAAAACCACUGGCUCAUUGGCCCUUUGCCCAGGUUGAAACCUUGAUUAUCUGGGAUCCAACUUCAUGAUAGAGAGUUCUAAAGCAGUGAUGGUGAACCUUUUGAGCUCGGCGUGUCAGCAUUUUGAAAAACCCUAACUUAACUCUGGUGCCGUGUCACAUAUAGAAAUUUUUUGAUAUUUGCAACCAUAGUAAAACAAAGACUUAUAUUUUUGAUAUUUAUUUUAUAUAUUUAAAUGCCAUUUAACAAUGAAAAAUCAACCAAAAAAAUGAGUUUGUGUGUCACCUCUGACAUGCGUGUCAUAGGUUCGCCAUCACUGUUCUAAAGUGUUCUGGGUAGCCGUCAUCUGUGUGUUUGGUGAGCCAUCCUGUCAGCAUCCAUGCCCGCCAGAGUGGAGAAGGGGAAGCAGAAGGGAUGGGCAUUGCCCUGAGAGAGGCACGUGCCACCUCCACUCACACACCCUGUGAGCCAGAACGGAGUCAUGUGAUCACAGUUAACUACAAAGUUGCCUUGGAGAUGUCAUCUCUCAUUGGAUUCUAUUACUCAUUGAAAGUGGGGAGAGUGAAUAUUGGGGGACAAGUAAGCUUCAAAAUAUACUUUUUCUAUGAAAUAGUGGAUUGAAGAGAGCCUGAGUGGGUGUUGGCAGGCCAUUCCUGAAAGUGAUGGGGGAUGGUGGCUAGGACUUGGGUGAUAACUGUAGAGAGAGGAUAGAGAAUGAAUUCAGAAACGCUGCAGCGUAGCACUGACAGAGGAAACAGGGCGGAGGAGUGGAAAAAAGGGCCAGAUAACUCCCGGGUUUCUGGCUUGUAUUGCAAAUGCUGGAGAGAGACCAGGUUUCAGGAGGAGGUGUUUAUGGGGCCCUGCCUUUAACUUUGAAAUGUGAUUUAGAGGCAUCUGUCAGACAGGCUGUUUUUACACAUCCAACAUAUGUCUUCUAAUAAAUUAACCACCAAUUCACAGUCAGGUGAGAGCCCCAGGUCUAGUCAAUGUCAACUAAUCUAUUCAAAUGCAUGGGCCUCAUGGGAGGGUUUCUUAUAGUAAAGGGCUUGGUUAUAUCACGUGUCACAGAAUGAUUAAUCACAUACAAACGUAGGAAAGCCAGCCAGGCAGAGGGAGCCUUUUAACCAGCUAAAGGCCUUGCUAAUUCUCUAUCAUCAUAAAUCAUGAGCAGUCUCCCUGUGUUGAUAGUAUGGACAGGACUGUUGGUCACACAGGAAUAUCAGUCACAUGGACUUGUGUGCGGCAGCCCAGCCCAUAUUCAGUGAUGGGCAUCAUCAUGAUUGUUGUAACCACGUGUGGAGCUGCAAGAACCACCACAGAGCUCCAGAGCCAGGAAGCAGGUGUUUUGUUUCUCGUGUUGCUUGUGCACAUAAUACACGAAGUGUUUAGUGUUUUGCACCUUUUAGUUGAUUUGUGAUAUUUUUUCUUAGAAAGGCCUACUUUGUCUAAGUCAGUGAUGGUGAACCUAUGACACGCGUGUCAGAGGUGACACACAAACUCAUUUUUUUGGUUGAUUUUUCGUUGUUAAAUGGCAUUUAAAUAUAUAAAAUAAAUAUCAAAAAUAUAAGUCUUUGUUUUACUGUGGUUGCAAAGAUCAAAAAAUUUCUAUAUGUGACACGGCACCAGAGUUAAGUUAGGGUUUUUCAAAAUGCUGACACGCCGAACUCAAUAGGUUCGCCAUCACUGGUCUAAGUGCUAUGUCUUCCUGCCCAGCUGACCAAGGCAUCCUGCAGUUGAUGUGCAGGCGAUACCAGCUAGUCGACUGUUGUGCACCGCUGCUGGGUGCUGUGGUUAAACAUUUACAAUGAAGUAUGUCAGGCUUUCCAAUAGGCACUGGUGUUUUGGCGUUCAUUCAUUUAUUCUUCAUUGAACAAGGGAAGUGCUACAGUCUGGCUGCAUGGGAUACUCACGCAAGAUUCUGGUGAGCACGACAAAUGGCGGACGCCUCUGCCUUUGGAAGCUCCAUUCCUGCAUCUUGGAAGCCAGGAAGUCAGAUUCAAUAGCCUAUUGCUGUCUGCAACCCAUCCACAGUGUCGUCGUCGUCAAAUCGCAGCCCUUGGCCUUCUUCUGGCUGGCCCUGCUGUGAUGGGUCUGUGGAGGCUCCAGCCUCGAAAGCCUGGCUCCCACUUCUGUUGGCGGAGGCCAAGGAAGUACCAGGAAAGGUUGGUUGGGUGGAGGGGACGGGGGCGUUUUGUGAGGCAAUUGGGAAUUGGGCUUUCUGCCUUCAUCUACUCUUCUGCUAAGAGGAGGGGGUGGGAGAGAGAGAGAGAGAGAGAGAUGGGGAGGGGUGGGAGAGAGAGAGAGAGAGAGAGAGAGAGAGAGAGAGAGAGAGAGAGAGA